GAAAAGAUCUCCAACUGUUAUAGUUGAACUUUGGGAUUGUUUCAUCUUCAUUUGUCUCUUGAAAAAAGCUGUUAAAGGCUGAUGGAUAUAGAGAGCCAUCCACACAGACGGGAAAGUUGUCAGUCUCACAUCUUACUAAAAAAUUAGAGAGAUGCAGAGAUCAAAAGUUCAAACUCAGGUCCAUUAUGUUCAAGCAGCUUAUCAAAGAUGGAGAUAGAUGUUUGAUAAUGAUCGGUAAUAAGUUCUUUGAUAAAAACGAACAAACUCAACAGGAGAUAAUGUGCAGAUAACAUUGUCUGUACUGCACUUUGUGUUUUUAAUGUAGGUUGUGUUUAUUGUUUGAGCCUUGUCAAAAGAGAAUUCACUGUUGGGAUAGACAAUAAAGUUUAUCUAUUUUAGUAGGAGAACAUAUUAAACACGUGACCAUG